CUACGGGAGGCAGCAGUAGGGAAUCUUGCGCAAUGGGCGAAAGCCUGACGCAGCCAUGCCGCGUGUGUGAAGAAGGCCUUAGGGUUGUAAAGCACUUUCAAUUGGGAAGAAAAGCUUGUCGUUAAUAGCGUCAAGCCCUGACAUUACCUUUAGAAGAAGCACCGGCUAACUCCGUGCCAGCAGCCGCGGUAAUACGGAGGGUGCGAGCGUUAAUCGGAAUUACUGGGCGUAAAGCGCGCGUAGGCGGUUUGUUAAGUCGGAUGUGAAAUCCCCGGGCUCAACCUGGGACCUGCACCCGAUACUGGCCGACUAGAGUACGAGAGAGGGAGGUAGAAUUCCAUGUGUAGCGGUGAAAUGCGUAGAUAUAUGGAGGAAUACCAGUGGCGAAGGCGGCCUCCUGGCUCGAUACUGACGCUGAGGUGCGAAAGCGUGGGGAGCAAACAGGAUUAGAAACCCGAGUAGUCC
rnacentral:rRNA from 1 species